UCUAUAGUUCUCCAUACUAUCCAAUACACUGUCUGUUUCUGAAAAUUUCAGCAAACAAUCAAAUCAAUCCACUUCGAAAUCUCAGCUGGAUUGUCACAUAAUACUGUUUGCAUCUUAAAAACAGGUAAAAUACAACAAAUUAAAAUAAACCCAACAUACUUUCAAUUUUUCUGUCAAACAGGAGUGAUCAAAGAUGUUAUGUUCCAGUGAUUUAGCAAAAUAUCACGUUAACUCAUGACUAACCCAUUAUCAGUCAGUUCCCUUCAUCAACAAGAAUGUUUAUCUAAACAAACCAUUAAAGCUGGUCGUGUUUCAGCAGUUAACUUAUUUCCCCUUUUAAAUUGAGAGGUUAACCUCACAGCCGAGGGUAGCUGUAAAAAAACUUCAGCCCCCUGCUUAAUUUUUGUUUUUAAAGGGACACACACCUACACUUAUAACAUGUGAUUUACAACAAAUAAAAGACUUAACUUCAGCAUUCAUUCAAAAACCAUAAUGCUACCACACACAUGAGAGGCUCUAAACAUCUGGGAA